AUGUGUGUCGGCGCUGUUUUUCUGUUCGGAGUAGCCGCGCCUUGGCGCUGCACAGGACGCCGAAAGUCGGAACGGUCGGAACUACGCGCGGAGCAGCACAAGCCUUCGGAGCGCGCGCGCGUGCGUUGGAAGCCGCAAAGGAGCAGCCAUUGUCAGCGACGGCGCAUUCUUCUACCGUGGUUGUUGUUUCUCACAGCUUUGAACCCCCAAGACUCCACGGACUGCGACUGCGGCCGUUUCAUUGCCAGCUGUGAGGAUGAAACAGCUUCAUAGCCGGAGAUCAGACGCCUCCCAUCAGUUUCCCUUUUCAGCAAUAGAGGCCUUGGAUGCCUUUCCACCUGCGUUGCAUCCUGUGGCUGACCACUCCAACGAUCUUGGCAGAAUCGUUACACAGGAAGAAGUCCGGCUGGCCCCAAGCCUGGUGUGAAAUGAAGAAAUGGCACUCCACAUCAAUUCAUGUUUACUUGUCGUCAUAGCCAGUCUGUUAGCUUAAUUUUUGGUUCUUCGUAUUGAAU
rnacentral:lncRNA from 1 species